CUUAAUUUGCAAAGAGAGAGAGCGCACAUGGCUCUGAGAUAAGGUAUAGCAUGCUGGACCCCAUCAUGAUAGGCAGUAAUGAUACUCCUCUCAAGCACAGGACACACUCAGUUUUCCUGUUGGAAAAAAGCCCCAUCUGAGUUGCCCAGAGCUGGUUCCAGCCCAUGACUAGUGUGGAAAAGUGGUGAAUCAGGCCUCGAGCUCGGCUCCAGUGCUGGCAGGGGCAGCACUGUUGUCAUCCAAUUUACUUGCCAAAGUUUAGCCAUCAUUUUGUCUUGUAACUGGCCAUAUAUUUCACACAUUUGAAACCUCAUUUGUGUUACAACCAAGUAGAAUUAAUUUUGAGCACAGCAGAGGCUGUGUUUUUAAUAAAAGGCUAUGUUUAUAAAUAAUCAAGUAACACGCACAUAGUGGGGACUCCUACUGAAAGCACAGAAACAGCAAAUUAUUGUUGUAGUCUUAAGGAAGGUUAUCAGAGAAUUCAGUGUUUAAUAAUAUCAUAGAAAAGGUGUGAUCCUGUAGUGUUCUGGAUUCUAUCAGUUCAUUCUGGGUUUUGACCAGUUUUUGAGGUACCCCAGCACCACACAGAGUCAAGACCCUGAAAUCAUUAAGCAGAGAGCACAGUGUAGGAAAUGAAGUAUGAGAACAACUUAAGUAUUCUUAGUAAUAGCUUUUGUUGCCCAGAAUUUGAAUAUAUGUUUACUUCUUGUUUGUGGUAGCCAGUUGUAAUAACUCCAGUGGUGGUCUCAGUUGUUUUUAUUGAAUUCAUAAUAUGUGCUGGCUUUGGAUGAGCAGUUUCAAAGACUUCUGCUGAUGUGAGCUGGAAUUUGUGCUCUGUUUGGUUCAUGCUAUGUCUUCUGUAACUGCAGUGCUUGUAUGAACACAGUUGAUGGUAUGUUGUAGCUUGAUGUGAGAGGCUAAGAUAAAACCCCAGCUGUUUCUGAAGAUACUGCCUGCUGCUAUCAAGAGGUUUAGUUUAGCAAUUUUAAGUGUUACAAGGACCUGUAGGACCUAUAUUUUUGAACUGCUUUCCUGAAGAGAAGGUGGAAAUGUAUAUGUCUGGCUAUUUUAGGACUCAUUCUUUCUUGAGUGUGCUUAUACUUUAUAAAAUGCAAGCUCAGGGAACAUGGAUAAUAAAGCUGAAUUAUCAUCCUCGAGUGACUGUAGAUUAAGGAUAUUGGCCAUGAGUGAGUCGUGGCAAAAGCUGAAUUAGGUUUAAAAUAUCAGCAACAACAUCAACAGAGAAAGGAUGGCUCGAUCAAGUACCAGCCAUGUCAUUAUAAUUCUUAAGAGAUUUGGGUACAGCUUAAGGUUUGCCUUCUUCACUGACGCACAGCAAGCUGGCUCAAGUCACCAGCCAGACAACUUCCAUGAUGCCUCCUGCUGACCAGUACAUGAAGAAAUAGCUAUCUGCCAAACAAGUUGUUUGUUUUGUUUCAAAGCCCCAGUGGGCCCAGCCCUUCCUGCCCAGCAGCUGCAGCAGGCUCUGUUCCUGCUUGGUGCCUGGCCUGGGAAGACCUUGCUUGCUGGCCCAUGAGAGUGGUUCUCCGAAAUGGGCUUGUGGGGAGUGCUGUGUGAGAGGAUCUGUUUGGGGUAUUUUUUUAGUUGUUUAUUAAAGUUUGUUUAUUAAAAUGAAUAUCUGGUCACAAUGGAAACAUGUUUUUUUGAAGCGUGUGUAUUGCCAAGAGAGCAGGAUAGAGCACUGAUCACGUUAUUGCUGCCCCAGGAUCAGAAGUGCACACACAGCUCUGCAGGCCCCAUGGGCAGCAUCCCAGUACCACCUCUCUCCUCUCUUUCAGUUCAGCUCUGCCACGUUUGCUGUAGUGAUGGCUCCCUGCUUCUCCACAGGCGGGAUGCUGUUGGUGGGCUUCAUAAAGAAUACAGACAUGAUCUGGAAUGUUGAUCAAGUCUAAGGAUAAAGCGACAAAGAAAAUGGCCACCAGUUGAAAUGCCAUAAUUGAAAUAAUUGUGAAUGAAAUACCCCACGUCUAAGACUUUCUGCCAUGUAUACUAGGACCUUUUUAAAGCCAAACAGUUUUCUGAAAACCAAACACAUCUAAAGAGUAAGCCAUCAUUUAUCAUCAGAGGAAUGAAUGAGACCUCUUAAUGCAACCCUGCUCUUUUGUGUAGGUAUGCAGAGAGUCAUUGCGCUGCCUGCCUCAUCUGGAUUACCAGCAGACUCCUCACAGGAGAUAUUAAUUAUAGGCAAGGCUGUGAAUGCCACCUAUAGUUAAGCUUGCCUGACACUUUUCAUCACAAGACCCUGUUUUCCAUUGCUUAUAAAUUUGUCAAAUGUAUGUUAUUUGGACUAAAAAUGUACAGACUGGGAGACUGCAUCUGACUGAAUAUCUAAACCUUCAGAAAAAAUUGCAUCUUUUUUUUUUUUCCCUCCUGAGAACAAGUUUAAGAGAAAUGUGCUGCUUUUUCUCAUGUCUUAAAAAUAGAUGCUUCUGUCCAUUUUGUUGAGAUGCUCCAACGAUUUGGAGAAAGAAUUCAAUAAGUGGAAAGUAGAAGCCAUGUGUCACAAUGUUGUCAGAGUCCAGGCUUUACAAAUGUCCUAGUGUACAUGCAAGAAGGACUCAAGUACUGUUAAAAUGUAGAAAGGAUGUGGUUGAAAGUAGAUUAAUUGUGGAGAUUUAAUUGAAGCUAUUUAAUAACUACUAUUUUCUAGGUUACCAUUACAUCAUCUUUUUACCUGUGGAAACGAGGGGAAGCUCAUCCCAUUCACAGAGUCCCAUCAGUGAUUUCUUGCUUGCGAAGCACGCAAGUAGUGCAAGGAUGGCAUGACAGAAAAGUCAUCAGACAUUCAUAAUCCUGUCUUCGUAGCAAGACUUGAGUACAGUAUGAAUCUUCAAAGCAACAAGGAACACCUCUUGUGGAAAAAAGGAGAAAGAAUGUAAGAUUUGGGAUGGAUGGGUGGUGACAGAGCUGUUGGACCCUACUGCAGCUGUUGGCUCAUAGACUCUUCUAUCCGGCAUCAGCUAAAUUGAUAAUUGUUGUUGGGUGCAUGAAGGUGAUGACACAUCAGAGGUCUCAGGGUUAGGCCUCUGAGAAGCUGCAACAGUACCUUACAGUGCUGUUCCAGAAAAUACGACUGCAUGCAGCAUCAACAGAAAGAUGAGAAUCCAGGGAGUCGCAGAGACAUCCUUCAUGCUGAUGACUGUGAGGGAUGAAGGCUCAAGAAGUGUAGAGGUAGUCUGGGCAUUAAUUGCUUGGGAAUGUGCUGCUGUUUCACCUGUGGCUUUUUCCAGGGCCCUGCAUCACAACCCUCCUCUAAAAUAUUUUGCAAGCAUACAGAUCAACCUUUCCCAGCAAUAACUUGGCAUGGGGUUGUGUUGUCCCCCCUCAUCUCCCUGCCUCAUACCUGGCAGCUCUGCCUUAUACCUGGAGGACCUAGAGCCCAGGGGAUAAAUGUCUAACCUGUGGUGGAGGAUUGCAUCAGCCAACAAGCCUGGUUGUGUGCAAUGUCCUGUUUUGGGAUGCUGUCUGCUCCUGAUCAUUUCAGCAGCCGCAGUGCUGGCAAAAGUGAUGAAAAAAGGAGAGUAUUUGAAGCAAAGCACCUAAGCCUAAUUUAUGGAUGAAAUCUUCUUAUGACAUUGAGCUGUGGCUGUUAGAAACAGGUAAGAAACAUUGGUCUAGUGUUUGUCAGCAGAAUUUUGGUGGACAAGUGGUAAUGGACUUCACCCUAGGCUUGCAUCCUAAGCCAAUUGCUGUGCAGAUAAAAGCAGCCCUUUCAAGCUGUUCCAUUGGGUUUUAAAAGCAAAGCUGAGAAGGCUUCACUGGGGAACUUGAUCUCUUGUAGUGUUUAUUCUCACCAACCAAAAGCAGCAAUUAGUAUCUCUUUCAGAUGGUGAGAAUCUCUUUCAGAUGGUGAGAAUAAACAGUCUUGUAGACAUGCAGAGGAAAUGGAAAUGACAUAUGAAUUUUCAUUAACCUAUUUCUCCUUGGCUUUGCUGCAAAGUGCCAAAAUACAGCGAUAUGGAUCCUUCAGUUAUGAACCCUGGCAUCUUCCUGGGCUGCUGGCUUUAGUUGAAAGCAGGCGAGUUUCACAUGUGUACCCGAGAUCCAUAUGUUUCUUGUGGGUUGAUUGUCUGAACCCUUGGUGCUUUUGCUCCGUCUGCAUAUAACCCAAUAUUAUGGAGAUAUCCCUGUUUUUAAACACAACCAUAUGAUCAAGAAAUCUCUAAAUGAUAUGAUUUAUUUUGAUAUCUCUGACUCUCAUUAUAGUCUCAAGCAGUCCUUGGUCUUGCCUGGAUGCUUCGUGUUCAUUGAUAUAAAACAGUAUGGCAGAAAAUCUGAUGUCAUCUGCAGCUGCUGUGCCAUAUUUCAAAGGAGAAAGCAUUAACCCUUUCUAGCAAAAUCGUUCCUGUGAAGGACAAAUGUCUUCUUGUCUGAACAACAUACCCAGCCUAAUCAUUGAUGUCUGUACCCAGUUGGCAGCAGCAAGUUUACUGGGGUAAUCUGGCACUGCUCCGUGCAAGUUAGAGAAGCUGUAAUUCUCACUUCUGGCAGCAGAUGAAUUUGACCCUUUUCCUAAGACUAUGCUUUAUUUUAUCAACUUCAUGUCCUCUGACAUCUGGUACCAUAAAAGUGUUCAGCCACAGAGAUGGGGUUUCUAUAAAUAUAUUUCUCCCAUACAGAGAUUGACAGCAUUCAAGUUGCAAAGUGUUUCAGAGCUGUGUGGGAGGAGGGAGGAACAAGUUGAGGGGGAGGCGAGGUGUCUUAUUUCCCCUCUCACCUCCUUCAUCUCAAGUCCUUAUGUCCUCUGGGAUGUGAUUUUAGUGUUAAUGGCAAAGGUGCUCCAAAGCAGUGGUAAAUGUGGGCCCCAGAUGUGCUAAUUCAGCCUGGGACAGGCAGGGGAAUGCAUGGGUUAUCUCACUCACCACUCUGACAGCUUCAGUUCAGGAUAAUCUCUCCUCCUGUAUUUCUGACUCUACCCCCAUCCACCACCCCAGCUGGUCAUCCCCUGCUUCAACACCAUGGCAUGAACACAACAGGCCCCUUGCAGCUCUAAGCUUGGGGGGCAUCAGUGGGUCUUGCAUUGGCUUAUCUGCCCCCUGAGUCCUCUGAGCAGCCUCAAGCCAGGUCUGACCACUGCUGCUGCAAGGGGAGUAGGUGGAGGGAGCUGUAAAAUAAAACAAGGCAGUGCACCAGUGUAGGCAGCCAUUCAGCAGUGAUGGGUCCUUCCUUUAACCUGUCUUGAAGGUUUUGUAAAUUGAAGUAAAAAAAUCACUAUCCCUUUUCAUAUACCCCUUACCAUGUAGACAGAUGGCCUCAAGGGUGACUAGAGGUACCAAAAAUGUCAAUGUGUGGAUGGUGAAGGUAUAUAUAACAUGUGUCACUGUCAUAAAAGAUGAGGAGGUUGCCCUUUCUUUUUUUCCUCAAAAUACAGCCCUUGCGCUUUGCAGCAUGUGCUACUAUACUAUUGAUUUACUGCUUGAUUAUAAUGACAUUUCAUAACACAAGUGUUAUUAAAAGCUUGUUAAUCUCUCUUAAGGAUCAUAUUCCUCAAAAUGUUUGAACAAAAUGCGUUUAUCUUUAAGGACAUAUUUAAAUAAACUCAAAUGACUUGCUGUAUCAAGGUUUUAAUUACGAGUUGCUCUCCUUAGUGCAGAGCUGGUGGCUUCUUUCAUGUUCUUAUGUGAUUUCUGAAGUUUUACUAAAGCACUACUACAUAUCCAGUAUUUCUAUCUCACCCUUUCUCUCUCUCUGUCUCUCUCAAUCUCAGUGCAAAGAGGACAAAUACUUUCUGAAGUAUGCCUGACUCAAAGCUAAGUGGAUUUUGCAAGGGAGCUAUUCUAUGGCGGAUUAACAGCCGUCCUUGCCAAUUAGUACAGGAAAUAUUUUUCAGCGUAUGGGACAUUGAUGAGUGAGUGCUCUGUGCACUGGGCAUGUGGUCCUUGUUAUUAAACAUCUAUGUUGCGCCAGUGUCUAGAGGUAGCAAGAAGUUUAGAGUCCCGCUGUCCACAGGACUUUGCAAGCAUAGAGAACAUCCUCAGACCAGAGCAGAGAGGUCUGGGGUGUCUUCAGUUUGUUCGUACAACAGCAGCGUAUCUUCAACAGCAUUAUCUACCAAAUAUUUUGUGUAGUUGUUAUUUACUUGACAUGUAUUCGGGGGCUUGUUUUUAAAUGACAAUACACUUUGAGAUACUUCAUGAAGGUAUGCAGUUAUUUCUGCUACUGCCAUUUUGUGAAUGCUUAUGUGCAGAAGGAGAUGCUGAACUCAGGUUUUCCACCUGUAGUGCCGUAACUGUGAGCAGGAGUGAGUCUUAACACUCUGAUGGGAAUAAAAGACUCCUACAACCAUAGGACUCUCAUUAAAUACUUGCACUGAGGCCUUGACUGCGUAUCUAAUCUUUGCAAUUUAACUUAGUUCAAAACCCUAUUUUAGCUCAAGUAUAAACAGCGUUGUAGGCUUAAUUAAGCUGGAGUAGCUUUACAAGCAGUUUAACCCUGUGCUGUGUUCAACCUACCAUAGGCAAGUUUGGUUUUGUAAAAGGUGUAUGCCUUACUGACCUAGAGUGGCUUUCAUGGCCCAGUUAAACUAGGACCGUUUGUGAAUAGAAAAUGUCUGGGAAGGAGGAGAACCAUGAGGAUGACAAGAGAUAGUUCAUGGUGCUAAAAUGAAGUAGAAGUACUUUGGGUUUGGCUGUCAAUUGUGAAGCCAGGAGUGGGUAUUGGAGAAUCUGCAGGUGCAGGCAGUGGUGACUUGCAUCACUAUGUUUUAUUAGUACUCUAACUCGCAUUCAUUUAGCAGGGCAGUCGGAAUAACCACAGGGGGCUUUUACUGCUUCUGGGUAGCAGAGGUAUAAACAUCUGUCAUAUUUAAGCUAGGGAAUUCCUCCUGUUAGCUGCCACUGGUGGAAACUUCCCGAUGAGUGAAUUCCCUCCUUUGCAUGCUGGACCUCUAGGGUUUGGAAACAAACCACUUUCUUUUCCCUGAGUUUUUUCCCUCUCACAGUGCCAACAUUGAGUUAUUUUUUUUCCCCACCACAGGGUGUUUUUUGAUGUUGUUGAUUAUGAAUAUUUUCAUUUUUUGAUGUUUUCUUUUAUGGCUUUGAGUUAGCUGUCUUAAAAGAGGAAGGUUUAACCAUCUGGUACAGGGAACAAUCAGCAUCCAACAGGCAUGGCUGGUUUGCACAUCAUUCCAGGCCUGGUUAAAAUAAACAGAACCAUCAUCUUUAGAAAAUAAGAUGCACCAGGUGUAAAACCACCUUGAGCUCUGUGAAAAGAAGGUGAAAUUUAUGCAGCACUUAAGAGAGAUCUAGGGAUUAAUGGAAGGGUGUUAUAAAACAAAAUUCUAGUUUCAGUUACUUUUGAUGCCUUUAUCUGGAAAUAAGGGUCCAGGAAAUAAAACCCAGCUAAGAACCCAAGGGGAAACAUUACCCUGAAAACUGUGGGCUCCUCAUCAGAGGCGGUUUCUGUUUUUUCAAACUAUAUUUUUUUCCCAGUGUGCUGUCUCCGUAAGUGUGUACAGAUCACCCCUCCGACACGAAACGGGUACAUUCUCUGAGCUGGCCAUGAAUUGCCAUACACAAGAAAGUGUAAUUAGAGGGAGCCAUCAGAAAGACCUGCACAGCCCCUUUCUGUGGGGGCGAAGGGGCAGGAAUGCUGUGCUUUCAGCCAGCAUUGUUCCCCUCCCCAUUCAGCUGGAGUGGCAGACUGUUAAAAUUACCCCUACCCCCCCAUUCCUAGCCUGCUAGUGCUGCUCGUUCCUGCUGUAUGUGGGGAUGUAAUUUUUUCCUGCUUUCUUUAUUCUCUCUUCCUUUUUAAAAUACACACAUAUAUAUAUUUUAAGGUCAAUAUAUCUCCCAGAGUCUCUUGUGAACCUGUGGGCUUGUGUAUGUUUUGUCUUUUUUUGCUUGCUUUUUUUUUCUGUGACAAACUUUAACCCUUCUUUUUACCCCCUGUCUUUCCUUCCAAGCAGCCUUUACCCUGCUUGUGUGAGCAGCUGACAAAGAGAAUAAGUAAUUUCUUAGCCUUUCAGUGUUGAACUGCUUCUGGUUUUGUGAGCGGCCUUUGCACCUGUUGUGAUAAGCAGAGCUCCCUUCACAGCAGCACUGAAAGGGUGGCAGUCUUCCCCCCCCCUUUAAACUUUUUCUUUCAGUGAAUGCCAAUAAUUAAGGAAAACACUUGAGUCUGCAGUGGAUUCUUUAGCCUGACAAAACCUAGUAUUUAUAUAGAUUAAAAUGAACAGGGCGACCAAGGCACCUUUCUCAUCAGCUUGGUGAGAACUCUCUGAAGCAGGCUUGUUGCAUGAACAAAACAGGAUGACCAGUUCACUUACUUAACUAAAUUUGGCUUUACCCUACCCAACCUUGUCUGUCCUGUUUACACCUCCAAACAGCGUUCUCCUCGUGUGAACUUGCCUCAUCAUGUGCGACAAAGCGUGCAAAAUUAUGUGUGCCAUCGAGAAAAUAAUAAAUCGCUGCUAUUUAGCAUUUUUAAGAACUGUGCAUUUUGAUGUACUUUUUAAUAAGUCCCUUCUCUCUUUAAUUUGUGAACCACUUGUAGGUGUGGAGCUCUAUUUGCUGAGGUUUAACCUGAUGGAGGCUUUCCCCUUCGCCUGUGCUCGGUGUGCCAGCUCCAUGCCAAUGGGACCUUUAGCACUUGUGGAAGGGUGAUGAGUGCCUUCAUUGACCGCCCCUCAGUGCUGGCUUCAAAAAAGGCACCAUGGACCAAAAAAAAGAGUGGAAAGGCUACCCAGCUGCUCACACAAUGCAAGAGAAGGCCUUGGCUGCUGUUCAAAGCCACUCUGACCAGGUUUUCCUAGGUAAAAAGAAGACGGGAGAGGUCCCAAAACUGCAAGACUGAGAGGGGGAUCAUGCACUGCUGAGGUCUGCUUCAGCCUUCUCCCUGCUUCUUCGCCAUUGAUGUGCUUUGCUUCAGGCCCCAUUGAACAACAAGUAAGAGAAGAAGCCCCUUAGCAAAAAGCCUGAGUAAAAUUGAAGUUGCCAACAGAAGGAAGCUGAGGGCUGUGAGGUAGUGACUUACCAAUGUGUGUGUGGAUAUGUGUCUGAUUGCUCCUCCAGAAAACCUGGUGUUUGCUUCUAUGGGAGCAGAAGCCAGUAAUUAGUCCAGUAAUGUGGAGACAUUGUUACUGCAGCUCAUUAAAUUUGGCAAUGCUCACUUGGACCUUUGAGCGCUGGCGAUGUCAAGUUGACCUGAAAUGCAAGGAUUCCAUCUGUCGGGAAUUACUGAUGAAUUGGCAAUUAAACAGAAAUAUAUAUAUAUUUAACUCAUUACUUGUGCUGGAUUGACAGUCCUGCAAGCGCUAUCAUUUUAUGUUCAUCGACAGACUAAUAAAGCUUCCCCUGGGCUCCCUUCCUCACAUGGAGGGACUGGCAGCAUGGAUGAGACUAGAAUCAAAUGCUGCAGGGAUUUAAUUUUGCUCUGUCUGUAGACUACACUGAGAGAAGUGUCAAUUUGGACCGGGGUGAAGUGAAUAUCUGGGCUAACAGAGACAACUGAUGCCAUGUGGAUAACCAGACGGCCCUGAGAUGAUGCUGACUCUUGGGCUGUUAUUCCCUCUUACGGAACUGGUGACUGAGAAAUGGAUCUCUUUCCUAUUUCCCAGGAACAUCCAGUCAUGGACAGGGGAAUUUAUCUGUUAACCACUACUUAAGAUUGUCUUUUCUUCUAGCAGAAAGUGAAGAGAGGUAGCUGUCCCUUAUAUUUGCUGAGGGUUCCUGGAGAAGUGGCACCUGGGAAGGGAUGAAGAGGAGGUGAGGACCACAGGAUCUCUCAGUCUCGGGCUAUGCUGCCAUGAUGCCAAAACGUCAUUCACUGGUGAUGCCUCACAUAGGCGUGCUGUUGAGAUGGCCUGUCCCAUUUCUGGCUGGGUGAGUUGCUGUUGCAGCAGGCGAGAUGUAACAGGGAAGGUUGAGUACAUGUUGACUCCCAUAGGCAUCAGGUUAAUUUGGGAUCUCAGUGUUAGUCCCCCUUCCUGCAUCCUUAGCAAUGGCCAAGUUUCAGUGCUGUAAAGUGUGAACCUUAGAACCCUAC